GGGGGGACGCAGUAGGAUAGGCGAAGCGUGCGAUUGGAUUGCACGUCUAAGCAGUAAGGCUGAGUAUUAGGCAAAUCCGGUACUCGUUAAGGCUGAGCUGUGAUGGGGAGAAGACAUUGUGUCUUCGAGUCGUUGAUUUCACACUGCCGAGAAAAGCCUCUAGAUAGAAAAUAGGUGCCCGUACCGCAAACCGACACAGGUAGUCAAGAUGAGAAUUCUAAGGUGAGCGAGCGAACUCUCGUUAAGGAACUCGGCAAAAUGACCCCGUAACUUCGGGAGAAGGGGUGCUCUUUAGGGUUAACGCCCAGAAGAGCCGCAGUGAAUAGGCCCAAGCGACUGUUUAUCAAAAACACAGGUCUCUGCUAAACCGUAAGGUGAUGUAUAGGGGCUGACGCCUGCCCGGUGCUGGAAGGUUAAGAGGAGUGGUUAGCUUCUGCGAAGCUACGAAUCGAAGCCCCAGUAAACGGCGGCCGUAACUAUAACGGUCCUAAGGUAGCGAAAUUCCUUGUCGGGUAAGUUCCGACCCGCACGAAAGGCGUAACGAUUUGGGCACUGUCUCAACGAGAGACUCGGUGAAAUCAUAGUACCUGUGAAGAUGCAGGUUACCCGCGACAGGACGGAAAGACCCCGUGGAGCUUUACUGUAGCCUGAUAUUGAAAUUCGGCACAGCUUGUACAGGAUAGGUAGGAGCCUUUGAAACGUGAGCGCUAGCUUACGUGGAGGCGCUGGUGGGAUACUACCCUAGCUGUGUUGGCUUUCUAACCCGCACCACUUAUCGUGGUGGGAGACAGUGUCAGGCGGGCAGUUUGACUGGGGCGGUCGCCUCCUAAAAGGGAACGGAGGCGCUCAAAGGUUCCCUCAGAAUGGUUGGAAAUCAUUCAUAGAGUGUAAAGGCAUAAGGGAGCUUGACUGCGAGACCUACAAGUCGAGCAGGGUCGAAAGACGGACUUAGUGAUCCGGUGGUUCCGCAUGGAAGGGCCAUCGCUCAACGGAUAAAAGCUACCCCGGGGAUAACAGGCUUAUCUCCCCCGAGAGUUCACAUCGACGGGGAGGUUUGGCACCUCGAUGUCGGCUCAUCGCAUCCUGGGGCUGUAGUCGGUCCCAAGGGUUGGGCUGUUCGCCCAUUAAAGCGGUACGCGAGCUGGGUUCAGAACGUCGUGAGACAGUUCGGUCCCUAUCCGUCGUGGGCGUAGGAAAUUUGAGAGGAGCUGUCCUUAGUACGAGAGGACCGGGAUGGACAUACCUCUGGUGUACCAGUUGUCGUGCCAACGGCAUAGCUGGGUAGCUAUGUGUGGACGGGAUAAGUGCUGAAAGCAUCUAAGCAUGAAGCCCCCCUCAAGAUGAGAUUUCCCAACUUCGGUUAUAAGAUCCCUCAAAGAUGAUGAGGUUAAUAGGUUCGAGGUGGAAGCAUGGUGACAUGUGGAGCUGACGAAUACUAAUCGAUCGAAGACUUAAUCAAAA
rnacentral:rRNA from 1 species